UUGAACGCUGGCGGCAUGCCUUACACAUGCAAAUCGAACGGUAACGGGCCUUCGGGUGCCGCCGAGUGGCGAACGGGUGAGUAAUACAUCGGAACGUGCCCGAUCGUGGGGGAUAACGAGGCGAAAGCUUUGCUAAUACCGCAUACGAUCUACGGAUGAAAGCAGGGGACCGCAAGGCCUUGCGCGGACGGAGCGGCCGAUGGCAGAUUAGGUAGUUGGUGGGAUAAAAGCUUACCAAGCCGACGAUCUGUAGCUGGUCUGAGAGGACGAUCAGCCACACUGGGACUGAGACACGGCCCAGACUCCUACGGGAGGCAGCAGUGGGGAAUUUUGGACAAUGGGCGCAAGCCUGAUCCAGCCAUGCCGCGUGCAGGAUGAAGGCCUUCGGGUUGUAAACUGAUUUUGUACGGAACGAAAAGCCUUCUUUUAAUACAGGAGGGUCAUGACGGUACCGGAAGAAUAAGCACCGGCUAACUACGUG
rnacentral:rRNA from 1 species